rnacentral:tRNA from 1 species
CGCGGGGUAGAGCAGUUUGGUAGCUCGUCGGGCUCAUAACCCGGAGGUCGCAGGUUCAAGUCCUGCCCCCGCAACCA